rnacentral:rRNA from 1 species
CUAGCGGCGGACGGGUGAGUAAUGCUUAGGAAUCUGCCUAUUAGUGGGGGACAACAUCUCGAAAGGGAUGCUAAUACCGCAUACGUCCUACGGGAGAAAGCAGGGGAUCUUCGGACCUUGCGCUAAUAGAUGAGCCUAAGUCGGAUUAGCUAGUUGGUGGGGUAAAGGCCUACCAAGGCGACGAUCUGUAGCGGGUCUGAGAGGAUGAUCCGCCACACUGGGACUGAGACACGGCCCAGACUCCUACGGGAGGCAGCAGUGGGGAAUAUUGGACAAUGGGGGGAACCCUGAUCCAGCCAUGCCGCGUGUGUGAAGAAGGCCUUAUGGUUGUAAAGCACUUUAAGCGAGGAGGAGGCUACUUUAGUUAAUACCUAGAGAUAGUGGACGUUACUCGCAGAAUAAGCACCGGCUAACUCUGUGCCAGCAGCCGCG